AGCAGUAGCCGCGGGAACACGUAGGGUGCAAGCGUUAAUCGGAAUUACUGGGCGUAAAGCGUGCGCAGGCGGUUCGGAAAGAAAGAUGUGAAAUCCCAGAGCUUAACUUUGGAACUGCAUUUUUAACUACCGAGCUAGAGUGUGUCAGAGGGGGGUAGAAUUCCACGUGUAGCAGUGAAAUGCGUAGAUAUGUGGAGGAAUACCGAUGGCGAAGGCAGCCCCCUGGGAUAACACUGACGCUCAUGCACGAAGGCGUGGGGAGCAAACAGGAUUAGAUACCCCUGUAGUCCCUGUCUCUUAUAC
rnacentral:rRNA from 1 species